rnacentral:rRNA from 1 species
AUUGAACGCUGGCGGCAUGCCUUACACAUGCAAGUCGAACGGCAGCGCGGACUUCGGUCUGGCGGCGAGUGGCGAACGGGUGAGUAAUACAUCGGAACGUACCCUGUUGUGGGGGAUAACUAGUCGAAAGAUUAGCUAAUACCGCAUACGACCUGAGGGUGAAAGUGGGGGACCGCAAGGCCUCACGCAGCAGGAGCGGCCGAUGUCUGAUUAGCUAGUUGGUGGGGUAAAGGCCCACCAAGGCGACGGUCAGUAGCUGGUCUGAGAGGACGAUCAGCCACGCUGGGAAUGAGACACGGCCCAGACUCCUACGGGAGGCAGCAGUGGGGAAUUUUGGACAAUGGGGGCAACCCUGAUCCAGCAAUGCGGCGUGUGUGAAGAAGGCCUUCGGGUUGUAAAGCACUUUUGUCCGGAAAGAAAUCGCGCUGGUUAAUACCUGGCGUGGAUGACGGUACCGGAAGAAUAAGCACCGGCUAACUACGUGCCAGCCGCCGCCGUAA